rnacentral:rRNA from 1 species
AUGCAGUCGAGGGGUAACAGGGAGCUUGCUCCGCUGACGACCGGCGCACGGGUGCGCAACGCGUAUGCAAUCUACCUCUUACUAAGGGAUAGCCCAGAGAAAUUUGGAUUAAUAUCUUAUGUGAUAUUAGACUGGCAUCGGUUUAAUAUUAAAGGUUACGGUAAGAGAUGAGCAUGCGUCUCAUUAGUUAGUUGGUAAGGUAACGGCUUACCAAGACUUCGAUGAGUAGGGGUCCUGAGAGGGAGAUCCCCCACACUGGUACUGAGACACGGACCAGACUCCUACGGGAGGCAGCAGUGAGGAAUAUUGGACAAUGGACGGAAGUCUGAUCCAGCCAUGCCGCGUGUAGGAAGACUGCCCUAUGGGUUGUAAACUACUUUUAUACAGGAAGAAUAAGAUCUACGUGUAGAUUGAUGACGGUACUGUAAGAAUAAGGACCGGCUAACUCCGUGCCAGCAGCCGCGGUAAUACGGAGGGUCCGAGCGUUAUCCGGAAUUAUUGGGUUUAAAGGGUCCGUAGGCGGGCUGUUAAGUCAGAGGUGAAAUGCUGCGGCUCAACCGUAUGCACUGCCUUUGAUACUGGCGGUCUUGAGUUAUAGUGAAGUGGCUAGAAUAAGUAGUGUAGCGGUGAAAUGCAUAGAUAUUACUUAGAAUACCGAUUGCGAAGGCAGGUCACUAACUAUACACUGACGCUGAUGGACGAAAGCGUGGGUAGCGAACAGGAUUAGAUACCCUGGUAGUCCACGCCGUAAACGAUGGAUACUAGCUGUUCGGUUUUCGGACUGAGCGGCCAAGCGAAAGUGAUAAGUAUCCCACCUGGGGAGUACGUUCGCAAGAAUGAAACUCAAAGGAAUUGACGGGGGCCCGCACAAGCGGUGGAGCAUGUGGUUUAAUUCGAUGAUACGCGAGGAACCUUACCAGGCUUAAAUGUAGAUUGACAGGUUUAGAGAUAGACUUUUCUU